GUCUGAGUGUAUCGGAUCGCCUUGAUUUUGUUUAUGAUUUGUGGUCGUGCUUCAAUUUGGAUAAAGGUACGGUUCCACCUUUCGUUUUGCUGUUGAAAACCACUUUUACGGGUUAUAUGGAGUCGCCUGGGCAACAGCCUUCGUCUCUGUCGUCAUUGCAAGUGAGCGAUGUUUCUGCAUCUACUUUCCUCUCCGAGCACAGAAUUUUAUCAAGACUAAGACGAUGGCCAUCUUCCUAGCGUUGUCCUGUAUUUUCAUUACUUUAGGAUUUUACGUGGUUAGUGAGAAAUACAACAUGAUUUGCGUCUAUGACGUGGAACGUAACGUGACUUUCUGGCAACUGAUAACGACAACGUCUUAUUACGUCCAACAUCGGAACCUGGUCGACAUCUUUGACAGCACUGUCUACGGGUUUUGCCUUCCAGCCAUCUUUAAUGUCACCGUUGCAGCUUGUUCUGUGGCGAUGAUCCUGAAGUUAAAGAAAACUCUAUCUUGGAGAGAUAAGGCAUCGUCGGCCAUGUCCACCAAGGAAGCCCUGCUGACGAAAAUGUUGGUCUGUCUAUCCAUCCAGUACAAUAUUUUCUCGUCGCCGAACUUUUGUAUCCGAUCGGCUGGAAUGUUUGAAUCAGGUCUGAGCGGCUCUGGGAAAUAUUUCAACACGUUCAUGUUGAUGGUCAGUGUUGUUGAGAUCUGUUCCUUUCUGAACUCAUCGAUUCCUUUUUUUGUGUAUUAUUUUGUUGGAUCGAAGUAUCGAGAAACCUUACAAGGCCUGUUUAAAUCCAGGCGAGAAAUUUCAAGAAAAACUACCUUAUAUAGCACGAAUUCAUUAGGAUGACAACAUUUUUUUGUAGGGGAAGCAGAGAUUUCAAGAGUUGAAUUACAGAUUAAAGCCUAAUAGGUUUAUUUCAUGACAUAAAAUGCGAUGUGGAAUGUAAAAAAAACAAAACAUUUACACGAAUAGCAUUAAUCAUACAUAGCGCACAAAGAAGUGUGUGUUUGUGGCAGGCUGAGAGAGAGAAAGGAAGAGAAGAGAGAAAAAUGGGAAGGAGAGAGGAUAGAGUGAUUUUUUCCAAAUUUUCCUAAUUUUUCCUGAUUUCUUCGAGUGGCUCAAAUGUAGAUGGUAACUUUUAACGUGAAAAGUACCUAACAUUACUACGUCUUGUAAUUAGAUACCAGUCUUUUGAAAAACUAUGAUUAGACAUUUUCUCUUUUUUAAGUAAAUAAAGGUAAAGAUCUUUC
rnacentral:misc_RNA from 1 species